AACAAUGUGUCGCAUCCACAUACAGCUACAGCCGGCGGCUUGUUAGAGGUGCAGUAACAAGUGACGGGUGUCGACGGCAGCGCGCUCGCCCGACGUGCGACUCGACGCCAGCUAAACUCGCGCCGAUAUCCUGAUUGAAUUCUGUUGUUACAACUGCUGUGUGCUGAUAUGUUAUACCUGCCGGUCGGUCGCAAAUUGCCCGGUGAACGGCGCCCUGUCGGUUGUCACUUGUCAGCGCUGUCGCCCGUCACCCGGGCUGACACCCAGUGGGAGCCGUCACCGCGGAUUUACAUAAAAGUGCAAGUCUCGAGGAAUUGAUCCUGGCUUCAUGGGUUUGCUUCCCGGCGCGUCCCCCGGGAUGUCCCCGACGCCCGGGACCGGGACUGAGCCGGGAUGCCGGGAUAAUUGUUACCUCAUUGCUGACAAGCCGUUUGUCUUGUCUUCCACGUUGUUAAUGGAUUGGUGAUUUGUUGCCAGCUAAUUGUGGUGCGGCUUUCGUUUAUUUUUGGCCUUUGAGUAUUUUGUCUCUUUCAGUUGUUGUGUAAUUGUAUCGUUUAAAUAUUACGCAAAAGAAAACUAUUACUAUCUUAUUUUGUGCUAUUUUUCAGCUAAGAUAAAAUCCGAAAACGUAAUAAAUAUUGAAUAAAUAAUUAUACUAAUAAUUUACU